ACCCGAGCCACUGCCUGUUCAUCCCGCUAUCAUCCAGAAGUUUUGAAGAGCCGUAGACCAUCCAGGGGCACAGGCAGAGGUGCAGAAAGAAAGAAUUGGACAGGAAGACCUUCAAAGGGCUGCCUGACUGCAAGAAGAGAGGCUGGCCGAGAUGAUGCUUAAAUUGCAAGAACUGUCCUUUGAAGAAAGGGGAGAGGUGCUGGAGCUGGCUGCUUCCCGUCUACCUGGAGUGAUGUUUCACAUCAUGGAGUACCGGAGAGCUAGCCUAGGGUCUCCAGACAACCUCGCUGGUGCACCUGCAUGAAUUGCAGGGAGACUUCUACACACUAUUACACACAACUCCUGCCAUUUCACCACUGCAAUAUUCCAUUUAUUUAUUACCAAGUACUGUAUGUUUACAUAACAGGUUAACACUUUCCACAACUACACUGUACUUUAUUCUUCAUUUGGAUCCCAAUUAGGAAAAAUACUUGAUUUGGUGAUAUCUUUAAGUCGAUUUUUGUGUGAAUUUUUCUUUAGUCUGGUCAGUUCAGUUCAGUACUUUAUCGGAAUGUUUCCCUUACACUGUGCUUUUGUUAUUUUGAGGAAGGUUACGGAGACUACCUUGUAUAUCUCCUUAAUAAAACUAUUUGACCUGA